UACGGAGGGGGCUAGCGUUGUUCGGAAUUACUGGGCGUAAAGCGCACGUAGGCGGACUGUUAAGUCGGGGGUGAAAUCCUGGGGCUCAACCUCAGAAUUGCCUCCGAUACUGGCAGUCUCGAGUGCGGGAGAGGUGAGUGGAAUUCCCAGUGUAGAGGUGAAAUUCGUAGAUAUUGGGAAGAACACCAGUGGCGAAGGCGGCUCACUGGCCCGUAACCUGACGCUGAGGUGCGAAAGCGUGGGGAGCAAACAGG
rnacentral:rRNA from 1 species